UAGAGGUCUGCCUGCCCGUGACCAUGUGUUUAACGGCCGCGGUAUUUUGACCGUGCAAAGGUAGCGCAAUCACUUGUCUUUUAAAUGGAGACCCGUAUGAACGGCACAACGAGGGCUUAACUGUCUCCUUCCUCCAGUCAAUGAAAUUGAUCUUCCCGUGCAGAAGCGGGAAUAACACCAUAAGACGAGAAGACCCUGUGGAGCUUCAGACACAAUAGCAGACCAUGUCAAAAACCCCCACUUAAGGGGAAAGAACUGCUUGGACUCCUGCCGCAAUGUCUUCGGUUGGGGCGACCUCGGGGAAGUAAAAAACCCCCGCGCGGAAUAGGAGCACCCUACUCCCAAAACCAAGAGCUACUCCUCUAAUUAACAGAACUUCUGACCACUAAGAUCCGGCCAAUGCCGAUUAACGGACCAAGUUACCCCAGGGAUAACAGCGCAAUCCCCUUUUAGAGCUCAUAUCGACAAGGGGGUUUACGACCUCGAUGUUGGAUCAGGACAUCCUAAUGGUGUAGCCGCUAUUAAGGGUUCGUUUGUUCAACGAUUAAAGUCCUACGUGAUCUG
rnacentral:rRNA from 1 species